rnacentral:rRNA from 1 species
GAUACCCUAUUAUUAUAAAUGUAAAGUUAUUAACCUAAAUUACUAUUAGUUAUGGUCUUGAAAAUUAAAUAUUUUGGCGGUAUCUUAGUCUUUUCAGAGGAGCCUGUUUUUUAAUCGAUAGUCCACGAUAAGUUGUACUUUAACUUUAAAUUUAUAUAUCGUCGUAAAAUAAAUAUUUUAUAAGGAUUUAAAUGUUUGAGAUUUUUAAUUAUAAAUUAAUUCAGAUCAAGGUGUAGUUUAUGUUAAAGUAGAAAUGGGUUACAGUGAGUUUACUUUUGGUUUUAUAGUUUAAAACUGUAAAUAAAAUGGAUUUGAAAGUAAUUUUUAUAUUUUUG